GUAAUUGGAGAAGGAACUAUUUUCUAAUGUUUUUUUGAAAAAAAAUUAUCUUUGAAAGUGAGAAUAAACCUGUCCAUGGAUAAUUGUGGGAGUACUGGGAGGUGGACAGUUGGGUCGUAUGAUUUGCCAAGCUGCUUCCCAAAUGGCUAUAAAAGUUACGAUUUUAGAUCCUUCAGAGAAUUGCUCAGCAAGUUCAUUGUCCUACGGUCACAUGGUUCAUAGCUUGACGACAGUGCUACUGUAGAACUGAGAAGAAUUUUUCAAACAUUUAUCUUUCUUUGGGGGGUGUUCCUGUGGCGACAGUUGCAAUAAACAACUCCCCACCCAUGCAGCAUUGCUUGCUAUCCGGAUGCUUGGGAUCUCUGUUACUGAUCUUGUCUCAAGGAUGAGUCAGUACCGGGAAGACAUGAGAGAAGAGAACAUGGUUAAAGGAGAGAAACUUGAGCGAGAAGGUUGAGAAUCGUAUCUGAACCAUUGAGCAGAACUCUCAUAGGUUACCGGAUAACCGGUUGAGUGAUUGAUUUUGCUGACAAGAAGUUCUUACUGAGGGAUCUGAGAGCAUUCUUGAGUUGUUGUCACAAGUAGUUUCGGUUUAGCUUCUUGAAGUUAAGGCACAGCUGAAUCUGUCUCCACAGAGAUGUCGAUGUAAACCGAUAUAUCAUUAUCAAGUAUAACCAUAUUGAAC